UGGGGAAUAUUGGACAAUGGGCGAAAGCCUGAUCCAGCCAUGCCGCGUGAGUGAUGAAGGCCUUAGGGUUGUAAAACUCUUUCGCCGGGGAAGAUAAUGACGGUACCCGGAGAAGAAGCUCCGGCUAACUUCGUGCCAGCAGCCGCGGUAAUACGAAGGGAGCUAGCGUUGUUCGGAAUUACUGGGCGUAAAGCGCACGUAGGCGGGCUAUUAAGUCAGGGGUGAAAUCCCGAGGCUCAACCUCGGAACUGCCUUUGAUACUGAUAGUCUUGAGAUCGGGAGAGGUGAGUGGAAUUCCUAGUGUAGAGGUGAAAUUCGUAGAUAUUAGGAAGAACACCAGUGGCGAAGGCGGCUCACUGGCCCGAUACUGACGCUGAGGGACGAAAGCGUGGGGAGCAAACAGGAUUAGAUACCCUUGUAGUCCCUGAGCGGGCUGGCAAGGCGCAU
rnacentral:rRNA from 1 species